GCGGUUGGUCUAGCAACCGAUUAGUAGCUUGUCUCUCGACAACUUCCCAAGCAAGACGUCGUGGGUUCGAAUCCCAUCAUCUGCUCCA
rnacentral:tRNA from 1 species